rnacentral:rRNA from 1 species
AACUAACAAGGAUUCCCCUAGUAACGGCGAGUGAACCGGGAAGAGCUCAAAUUUGAAAUCUGGCGUGCUCAGUGCGUCCGAGUUGUAAUCUAAGAGUCGUUUUCCGUGCCGGACUGUGUCCAAGUCCCUUGGAACAGGGUAUCAAAGAGGGUGAUAAUCCCGUACUUGACACAAUGACCGGUGCUCUGUGAUACGUCUUCUACGAGUCGAGUUGUUUGGGAAUGCAGCUCAAAAUGGGUGGUGAGUUCCAUCUAAAGCUAAAUAUUGGCGAGAGACCGAUAGCGAACAAGUACCGUGAGGGAAAGAUGAAAAGCACUUUGGAAAGAGAGUUAAACAGUACGUGAAAUUGUUAAAAGGGAAACGAUUGAAGUCAGUCGUGACUGAGAGGCUCAGCCGGUUCUGCCGGUGUAUUCCCCUCAGUCGGGUCAACAUCAGUUUUGUUCGGUGGAUAAGGGCAGUUGGAAGGUGGCACCCUCGGGUGUGUUAUAGCCAGCUGUCGCAUACAUCGGAUGAGACUGAGGAAUGCAGCUCGCCUUUAUGGCCGGGGUUCGCC